UAAACAAAAAUAAUAGUCUUACAGCAAAGGAUCCGAAGAGUCUGAAGAGACAAUUCCAUAUAAUGGUACUUGAGACAUAACCAAAAAAAUCAACAAGGUGACUCCAGUCCAUAACAUUUUUUGCUUGAAAGGGACCUAGAUUCGAUAUUAGCUUUCGAUGUCUCUUAUGAGAUACAUAUGCUACAUACCUUUCGUUCGGGUGCAGCAAUCUCCGGUAAGAAUGGCGCGAAAGGCUUUACAAGGUCCAGAAAUCGUACUGUAUAGUGUUAGAAAUCAAUAAGAAAU